rnacentral:rRNA from 1 species
GAUGAACGCUGGCGGCGUGCCUAAUACAUGCAAGUCGAGCGAACGGACGAGAAGCUUGCUUUUCUGAUGUUAGCGGCGGACGGGUGAGUAACACGUGGAUAACCUACCUAUAAGACUGGGAUAACUUCGGGAAACCGGAGCUAAUACCGGAUAAUAUUUUGAACCGCAUGGUUCAAAAGUGAAAGACGGUCUUGCUGUCACUUAUAGAUGGAUCCGCGCUGCAUUAGCUAGUUGGUAAGGUAACGGCUUACCAAGGCAACGAUGCAUAUCCGACCUGAGAGGGUGAUCAGCCACACUGGAACUGAGCCAUGGUCCAGACUCCUACGGGAGGCAGCAGUAGGGAAUCUUCCGCAAUGGGCGAAAGCCUGACGGAGCAACGCCGCGUGAGUGAUGAAGGUCUUCGGAUCGUAAAACUCUGUUAUUAGGGAAGAACAUAUGUGUAAGUAACUGUGCACAUCUUGACGGUACCUAAUCAGAAAGCCACGGCUAACUACGUG